UACAGAGGGUGCAAGCGUUGUUCGGAAUUACUGGGCGUAAAGCGCGUGUAGGCGGCGUCGUUUAGUCGGAUGUGAAAGCCCUCGGCUCAACCGAGGAAGUGCAUCCGAUACUGCGAUGCUUGAGUGUUGGAGGGGGUGGCGGAAUUCCCGGUGUAGAGGUGAAAUUCGUAGAUAUCGGGAGGAACACCUGGUGGCGGAGGCGGCUCACUGGCCCCGAAACUGACGCUCAUGGCACGGACAGCGUGGGGAUCAAACAGG
rnacentral:rRNA from 1 species